UACAUCAGCCCCAGGUGUCAGUUAGCUAGUUAGCAUACAUUAAAUAAUCAUGCAGUAAUUGGUUGCUGCCAGUCUGCCAGCUUGGCUUGAGGGACAAUAACUAUGGGAGAACUGUUAAAAAGCCUCAACAUAGCGGUUACACAUUUUUGAAGCUAUAAAAGCUUGACCUUGAGAAGUUUCCAAUUGGCCACAUGAGGUUAGCUAAGUUCAUACAGUUGUUUGAAAUCAUAGACAUAUGUACAUGUAUAUAUGUUUGAAAUAAUAAAGUUUACGUCCAAGAUGGCCGCCGGGGACAGAUGCCUACUGUCUUCGUCAGUCCCACUACCAUUCUUUUUCCAGCUGUCCCUCCAUGACAGGAGCCUCAGUCUUCGAGCCAGGACACGGCAAGUUAACUUCAUAUCUGUCAUCACUGUACACCUGUCAAACAUGCUCGCCUCCAUUGCUUGGGGAAUAAGUAGCUCCAUUAAUACAGUGACAGUUGUCCUCCUUCCCCACUCCCCCUGGCUUACAUUCUCAACUGUACCGCACCCAAAUAUUAGAGGGGGAGAUUUAUUUGGAAGGAGCAGAUUACAUUUUGUUUGUCAUUUUAAUGUUUGUUUAAACAUCUGUAGAGGAAAUAGGGACCCAGUAAACUGGCGUAUACUGUUAUGCAGCAGUUAGGUCCACAAGAUGGAGCCAAACUCUAAAAAUAGAACUCCAAAAUCCCUGAGCCAACCUUGGUUCCUCUCCACCUCAGGGUGUUCAGGCAGAGAAUACUUUUACCUGUUUAUUUAUAGAAUGCAUCCUGACACUUUGAUGCAUAUAAACUUUAAAAUCUACUGUAUGUAUAUAUUGAUGAUAAUGAUCGUGAUGAUUUUUAUUCAGUGGCUGACAUUAUUCUCGUGAAGGAUUUUGUUGACUUUAGUUUCUGCAUCUUUACUUUUUUAUGUAAAAGAGCUGUUUGCUUGCUUCCGUUCCAUUUCCAAUUUUGGAGAUAGAC